rnacentral:rRNA from 1 species
GAUGAACGCUGGCGGCGUGCCUAAUACAUGCAAGUAGAACGCUGAAGGAGGAUCUUGCUCUUCUGGAUGAGUUGCGAACGGGUGAGUAACGCGUAGGUAACCUGCCUGGUAGCGGGGGAUAACUAUUGGAAACGAUAGCUAAUACCGCAUGACAACAGUUAUUGCAUGAUAACUGUUUAAAAGGGGCAACUGCUCCACUACCAGAUGGACCUGCGUUGUAUUAGCUAGUUGGUGAGGUAACGGCUCACCAAGGCGACGAUACAUAGCCGACCUGAGAGGGUGAUCGGCCACACUGGGACUGAGACACGGCCCAGACUCCUACGGGAGGCAGCAGUAGGGAAUCUUCGGCAAUGGACGGAAGUCUGACCGAGCAACGCCGCGUGAGUGAAGAAGGUUUUCGGAUCGUAAAGCUCUGUUGUAAGAGAAGAACGAGUGUGAGAGUGGAAAGUUCACACUGUGACGGUAGCUUACCAGAAAGGGACGGCUAACUACGUG